rnacentral:rRNA from 1 species
ACACUCCUGCGGGAAGCAGCAGUGGGGAAUAUUGGACAAUGGGCGCAAGCCUGAUCCAGCCAUGCCGCGUGAGUGAUGAAGGCCCUAGGGUUGUAAAGCUCUUUCACCGGUGAAGAUAAUGACGGUAACCGGAGAAGAAGCCCCGGCUAACUUCGUGCCAGCAGCCGCGGUAAUACGAAGGGGGCUAGCGUUGUUCGGAUUUACUGGGCGUAAAGCGCACGUAGGCGGACUAUUAAGUCAGGGGUGAAAUCCCGGGGCUCAACCCCGGAACUGCCUUUGAUACUGGUAGUCUUGAGUUCGAGAGAGGUGAGUGGAAUUCCGAGUGUAGAGGUGAAAUUCGUAGAUAUUCGGAGGAACACCAGUGGCGAAGGCGGCUCACUGGCUCGAUACUGACGCUGAGGUGCGAAAGCGUGGGGAGCAAACAGGAUUAGAAACCCUGUAGUCC